rnacentral:tRNA from 1 species
GCUCCCAUGGCGUAGUGGUCACUGCACUCGCCUUGCACGCGGGAGACCCGGGUCCGAUUCCCGGCGGGGUCA